rfam:Equus caballus chromosome 4, whole genome shotgun sequence.
AAAGGACCUGUAUGAAACACAAGAUGGCAAAGAGGGGGACAGAAAACUAAACUAACACCAGCAGUUCGUCUUUGCUUAA